rnacentral:rRNA from 1 species
GUACACGUGUGACUAGCAUAUCAAUAAGCGGAGGAAAAGAAACUAACAAGGAUUCCCUCAGUAACGGCGAGUGAAGCGGGAAGAGCUCAAAUUUGAAAUCUUGAAAGGUCACCUUUCACGAAUUGUAGUUUAAAGAAGUGUUUUCUGUUACGAUCGUAAUAUAAGUUCUUUGGAAUAGGACAUCACAGAGGGUGAGAGUCCCGUCUAUGAUUGCGAUUUGUAGCUUUGUGAUACACUUUCAAAGAGUCGGGUUGUUUGGGAAUGCAGCCCAAAACGGGAGGUAAAUCUCUUCUAAGGCUAAAUAUUGGCGAGAGACCGAUAGCGAACAAGUACCGUGAGGGAAAGAUGAAAAGAACUUUGAAAAGAGAGUUAAAUAGUACGUGAAAUUGUCAAAAGGGAAGCGUUUAACACCAGUGUUGUUUUCUGAAAAUCAACCUCUGUUAGCUUUAUGCAUGUUUGUUUAGACCUAAUCAGCUAUCUUGCAUGUUCUAUUGUUUGCAGUGGUGCACUUUUCAGUUUACAGGUCAACAUCAGUUUUUUUUACCGUAAAAAAGUUAAAGAAAGGUAGCUCAUGGCUCCGGUCGUGAGUGUUAUAGUCUUUUUCCUAUGCGGUAGGAGAGACUGAGGUCUGCAGUGUAGGCUAUUUGGCUAGAUACUCAGGUGCUAUGUGAUACCAUUUCAUAAACAACUUGUUGAUUAUGUUUUGUCUAUUGCAUACUCGCUUGUACUAUCAUACCUACGCUUAGGAUGUUGAACUACUGAGACAUAGA